UACAGAGGUCUCAAGCGUUGUUCGGAUUCAUUGGGCGUAAAGGGUUCGUAGGUGGCGGGGUAAGUCAGGUGUGAAAUCUCGGAGCUCAACUCCGAAACUGCACUUGAUACUGCCUUGCUCGAGUACUGGAGAGGAGAUUGGAAUUUACGGUGUAGCAGUGAAAUGCGUAGAUAUCGUAAGGAAGACCAGUGGCGAAGGCGAAUCUCUGGACAGUUACUGACACUGAGGCACGAAGGCCAGGGGAGCAAACAGG
rnacentral:rRNA from 1 species